GACGAACCUUGCUAACGUUAUUCGGAAUCACUGGGCUUAAAGGGUGCGUAGGCGGUGCGGCAAGUUGGGUGUGAAAUACCUCGGCUUAACCGAGGAAUUGCGCCCAAAACUGCCGUGCUCGAGGAAGACAGAGGUGAGCGGAACUUAGGGUGGAGCGGUGAAAUGCGUUGAUAUCCUAAGGAACACCGGUGGCGAAAGCGGCUCACUGGGUCUUAUCUGACGCUGAUGCACGAAAGCCAGGGUAGCGAACGGG
rnacentral:rRNA from 1 species